rnacentral:rRNA from 1 species
GACGAGGGACCUAGCGUUGUUCGGAAUCAUUGGGCGUAAAGCGGGUGUAGGUGGUCUGAUAAGUCAGAUGUGAAAGCCCAGGGCUUAACCCUGGAAGUGCAUUUGAUACUGUCAGGCUUGAGUGUGGGAGAGGAUAGCAGAAUUCCUGGUGUAGUGGUGAAAUACGUAGAUAUCAGGAGGAAUACCGGAGGCGAAGGCGGCUAUCUG